GAGUUUGAUCGUGGCUCAGGAUGAACGCUGGCGGCGUGCCUAAUACAUGCAAGUCGAACGAAACUUCUUUAUCACCGAGUGCUUGCACUCACCGAUAAAGAGUUGAGUGGCGAACGGGUGAGUAACACGUGGGCAACCUGCCCAAAAGAGGGGGAUAACACUUGGAAACAGGUGCUAAUACCGCAUAACCAUAGUUACCGCAUGGUAACUAUGUAAAAGGUGGCUAUGCUACCGCUUUUGGAUGGGCCCGCGGCGCAUUAGCUAGUUGGUGGGUAAAGGCUUACCAAGGCAAUGAUGCGUAGCCGAACUGAGAGGUUGAUCGG
rnacentral:rRNA from 1 species